AUACGUAGGGGGCGAGCGUUGUCCGGAAUGAUUGGGCGUAAAGGGCGCGUAGGCGGCCCGGUAAGUCUGGAGUGAAAGUCCUGUUUUUAAGAUGGGAAUUGCUUUGGAUACUGUCGGGCUUGAGUGCAGGAGAGGUAAGUGGAAUUCCCAGUGUAGCGGUGAAAUGCGUAGAGAUUGGGAGGAACACCAGUGGCGAAGGCGACUUACUGGACUGUAACUGACGCUGAGGCGCGAAAGUGUGGGGAGCAAACAGGAUUAGAUACCCUGGUAGUCCACGCUGUAAACGAUGAUGACUAGGUGUGGGGGGACUGAACCCUUCCGUGCCGCAGUUAACACAAUAAGCAUUCCGCCUGGGGAGUACGGCCGCAAGGUUGAAACUCAAAUGAAUUGGCGGGG
rnacentral:rRNA from 1 species